UGGGGAAUUUUGGACAAUGGGCGAAAGCCUGAUCCAGCAAUGCCGCGUGUGUGAAGAAGGCCUUCGGGUUGUAAAGCACUUUUGUCCGGAAAGAAAUCCUUGGCUCUAAUACAGUCGGGGGAUGACGGUACCGGAAGAAUAAGCACCGGCUAACUACGUGCCAGCAGCCGCGGUAAUACGUAGGGUGCAAGCGUUAAUCGGAAUUACUGGGCGUAAAGCGUGCGCAGGCGGUUUGCUAAGACCGAUGUGAAAUCCCCGGGCUCAACCUGGGAACUGCAUUGGUGACUGGCAGGCUAGAGUAUGGCAGAGGGGGGUAGAAUUCCACGUGUAGCAGUGAAAUGCGUAGAGAUGUGGAGGAAUACCGAUGGCGAAGGCAGCCCCCUGGGCCAAUACUGACGCUCAUGCACGAAAAGCGUGGGGGAGCAAACAGGAUUAGAUACCCUGGUAGUCCACGCCCUAAACGAUGUCAACUAGUUGUUGGGGAUUCAUUUCCUUAGUAACGUAGCUAACGCGUGAAGUUGACCGCCUGGGGAGUACGGUCGCAAGAUUAAAACUCAAAUGAAUUGAC
rnacentral:rRNA from 1 species